GAUGAACGCUGGCGGCGUGCCUAAUACAUGCAAGUCGAGCGAAAAGACGAGGAGCUUGCUCCUCUGACGUUAGCGGCGGACGGGUGAGUAACACGUGGAUAACCUACCUAUAAGACUGGGAUAACUUCGGGAAACCGGAGCUAAUACCGGAUAAUAUAUUGAACGGCAUGGUUCAAUAGUGAAAGACGGUUUUGCUGUCACUUCUAGAUGGAUCCGCGCCGCAUUAGCUAGUUGGUAAGGUAACGGCUUACCAAGGCAACGAUGCGUAGCCGACCUGAGAGGGUGAUCGGCCACACUGGAACUGAGACACGGUCCAGACUCCUACGGGAGGCAGCAGUAGGGAAUCUUCCGCAAUGGGCGAAAGCCUGACGGAGCAACGCCGCGUGAGUGAUGAAGGUCUUCGGAUCGUAAAACUCUGUUAUUAGGGAAGAACAAAUGUGUAAGUAACUAUGCACGUCUUGACGGUACCUAAUCAGAAAGCCACGGCUAACUACGUG
rnacentral:rRNA from 1 species